UACGUAGGGGGCGAGCGUUGUUCGGAUUUACUGGGCGUAAAGGGCGCGCAGGCGGUUCUGUUUGUCGAGUGUGAAAGCCCCGGGCUCAACCUGGGAACUGCGCUCGAAACGGCAGAACUAGAGUUCGGGAGAGGAGAGUGGAAUUCCCAGUGUAGAGGUGAAAUUCGUAGAUAUCAGGAGGAACACCGGUGGCGAAGGCGGGUCUCUGGGCCGAUACUGACGCUGAGGAGCGAAAGCGUGGGGAGCGAACAGG
rnacentral:rRNA from 1 species